CGCCUCCGGCCCUCCGCGACUCCGCCUCCGGCCCUCCGCGACUCCGCCUCUCCCUCAGGCCUUAUCCUGCAGCCGCCGACUUCAAGAAUCAAAGAUUCAAAGUCUCAACCCUAAUUACACGCUCCAGUCUCUCCCCGGUCAGUACUCAGCAGUCACUUGCAGCCCUGUUGACUUCAAGAAUCAAAUCAAAGAUUCAAAGUUGGAGCUAUGUCACAAUCUCAACCAUUGCAACCGGAGGUAGAGAUGAAGGAUUCCAACGAUGCUAAUGCCAAUACUCAAUCAAGCUCCAUCACUUGUUCUGUUUUAUGGUGGCCUAACUACUGGCUACUGGUUGUGACUUUGAGUUGGCCGCAUUGCAGAUUCCACUAUUCCAGAGUAGUCCAAGCACCUGCACCUGCUGUUGGAUCAAAUGGAUUAAAUUAAAUUCUGUUUUUCAAUUAAGAACUAGUACCUGCCACUGUCUUUUGAUGUUGUAACUGAACAGAAUAUUUGGAAUUUGUGUAAAACUAAAUUCUUGAUUGUUUUGCUAAUUGCUAGAA